GAUGAACGCUGGCGGCGUGCCUAAUACAUGCAAGUCGAGCGAACGGACGAGGAGCUUGCUUCUCUGAUGUUAGCGGCGGACGGGUGAGUAACACGUGGAUAACCUACCUAUAAGACUGGGAUAACUUCGGGAAACCGUAGCUAAUACCGGAUAAUAUUUUGAACCGCAUGGUUCAAAAGUGAAAGACGGUCUUGCUGUCACUUAUAGAUGGAUCCGCGCUGCAUUAGCUAGUUGGUAAGGUAACGGCUUACCAAGGCAACGAUGCAUAGCCGACCUGAGAGGGUCGUCGGCCACCCUGUAACUGAGACACGGCCCAGACUCCUACGGGAGGCAGCAGUAGGGAAUCCUCCGCAAUGGGCGAAAGCCUGACGGAGCACCGCCGCGUGAGUGAUGAAGGUCUUCGGAUCGUAAAACUCUGUUAUUAUGGAAGAACAUAUGUGUAAGUAACUGUGCACAUCUUGACGGUACCUAAUCAGAAAGCCACGGCUAACUACGUG
rnacentral:rRNA from 1 species